rnacentral:rRNA from 1 species
UACGUAGGGUGCAAGCGUUAAUCGGAAUUACUGGGCGUAAAGCGUGCGCAGGCGGUUUUGUAAGUCUGACGUGAAAUCCCCGGGCUCAACCUGGGAAUUGCGAUGGAGACUGCAAGGCUAGAAUCUGGCAGAGGGGGGUAGAAUUCCACGUGUAGCAGUGAAAUGCGUAGAGAUGUGGAGGAACACCGAUGGCGAAGGCAGCCCCCUGGGUCAAAAUUGAC